rnacentral:rRNA from 1 species
AACGAACGCUGGCGGCAUGCCUAACACAUGCAAGUCGAACGGGUCCUUCGGGCCUGGUCGCGCACGGGUGCGUAACGCGUUGGAACCUGCCUUUAGGUUCGGCAUAACUCCCCGGAAGGGGUGCUAAUACCGGCUCAUGUCUUCGGACCAAAGAUUUAUCGACCUUGGAUGUGCCUGCGUUGGAUUAGUUAGUUGGUAGGGUAAAAGCCUACCACGGCGACGAUCGAUAGCUGGUCUCUGAGGAAGAUAAGCCACACUGGGACUGGGCCACGGCCCGGACUCCUGCAGGAUGCAGCAGUGCGUAAUACUGGACUGUCGGCUGUAGCCUGAACCACCUAUGCCGCUUGAGUGAUGUAGGUCUUAGGGUUGGAAAGCUCUUUUACCCCGGAUUAUAAUGACAGUACCAGGAGAAUAAGCUCCGGCUAACUUCGUG